rnacentral:rRNA from 1 species
UACGAAGGGGGCUAGCGUUGCUCGGAAUCACUGGGCGUAAAGGGUGCGUAGGCGGGUUUUAAGUCAGGGGUGAAAUCCAUGGAGCUCAACUCCAGAACUGCCUUUGAUACUGAAGAUCUUGAGUCCGGGAGAGGUGAGUGGAACUGCGAGUGUAGAGGUGAAAUUCGUAGAUAUUCGCAAGAACACCAGUGGCGAAGGCGGCUCACUGGCCCGGUACUGACGCUGAGGCACGAAAGCGUGGGGAGCAAACAGG